AACGGCCGUACCAUGCUGAAUAUACCGGUUCUCGUUAGAUCACCGAAGUCAAGCAUCAUUGGGCGCGGUCAGUACUUGGGUGGGUGACCACCUGGGAACACCGCUUGCCGU